AACGCGAAGAACCUUACCUGGGCUCGAACGGCUUCUCAACGGCUGUGGAAACAUAGCUACUCCGCAAGGGGGUGGAGUCGAGGUGCUGCAUGGCUGUCGUCAGCUCGUGUCGUGAGAUGUUGGGUUAAGUCCCGCAACGAGCGCAACCCUUGUCCUGUGUUGCUAACCGAAAGGUGCACUCUCAGGAGACCGCCAGCGAUAAGUUGGAGGAAGGUGGGGAUGACGUCAAGUCCUCAUGGCCUUUAUGUCCAGGGCUACACACGUGCUACAAUGGGCGGUACAAAGCGCAGCGAACCCGCGAGGGGAAGCUAAUCGCAAAAAACCGUCCUCAGUUCGGAUUGCAGGCUGCAACUCGCCUGCAUGAAGCUGGAAUCGCUAGUAAUGGCGUAUCAGAAUGACGCCGUGAAUACGUUCCCGGGCCUUGUACACACCG
rnacentral:rRNA from 1 species